rnacentral:rRNA from 1 species
AACGAACGCUGGCGGCAGGCCUAACACAUGCAAGUCGAACGCCGUAGCAAUACGGAGUGGCAGACGGGUGAGUAACACGUGGGAACGUACCCUUCGGUUCGGGAUAACUCAGGGAAACUUGAGCUAAUACCGGAUACGUCCGAGAGGAGAAAGAUUUAUCGCCGAGGGAUCGGCCCGCGUCUGAUUAGCUUGUUGGUGAGGUAACGGCUCACCAAGGCGACGAUCAGUAGCUGGUCNGAGAGGAUGAUCAGCCACAUUGGGACUGAGACACGGCCAAACUCCUACGGGAGGCAGCAGUGGGGAAUAUUGGACAAUGGGCGCAAGCCUGAUCCAGCCAUGCCGCGUGAGUGAUGAAGGCCCUAGGGUUGUAAAGCUCUUUUACCCGGGAAGAUAAUGACUGUACC